UGAAAGACUUGGGAAGCCCAUCUACCCAUGCAGACGGAGGCAAAGAAGUUGCUGAGUACCUCAGCAUUCUCCGUGUCUGUCAUUACCAAUUACUCAGAUACAGAAACUCACUCCUAAUAUAAGAAGUUAGCCACCUAUAAUCGCUUACACACUACUAUUUUCACCCCUCAUGGCUUACACAUACUAUUUU